GGACUAGAACGUGAGAAGAAAUCAAGAUAGCAGAAGUGGUCUGGAAAGGCCCAUCAAAGAAGGUGACAAUCCUGUACGCGACAUUUUGAUGAACUCUACUAGCAUCCUGAGUACGGCGGGACACGAGGAAUCCCGUCGGAAUCCGCCAGGACCAUCUGGCAAGGCUAAAUACUACCUAGUGACCGAUAGUGAACCAGUACCGUGAGGGAAAGGUGAAAAGAACCCCGGGAGGGGAGUGAAAGAGUACCUGAAACCGUGUGCUUACAAGUAGUCAGAGCCCGUUAAUGGGUGAUGGCGUGCCUUUUGUAGAAUGAACCGGCGAGUUACGUUUACAUGCGAGGUUAAGAUGAAGAGUCGGAGCCGUAGCGAAAGCGAGUCUGAAUAGGGCGCAUGUAGUAUGUGGACGUAGACCCGAAACCAAGUGAUCUACCCAUGUCCAGGUUGAAGGUGCGGUAAAACGCACUGGAGGACCGAACCAGGGCACGUUGAAAAGUGCUUGGAUGAGGUGUGGGUAGCGGAGAAAUUC
rnacentral:rRNA from 1 species